UACGAAGGGUGCAAACGUUGCUCGGAAUUAUUGGGCGUAAAGCGCACGUAGGCGGCUUGGCAAGUCGGAUGUGAAAUCCCUCGGCUCAACCAAGGAAGUGCAUCCGAAACUGCUGAGCUUGAGUACUUAAGAGGAUCGUGGAAUUCCCGGUGUAGCGGUGAAAUGCGCAGAUAUCAGGAGGAACACCGAUGGCGAAGGCAGGUCUCUGGGCAUUAACUGACGCUGAGGAGCGAAAGCAUGGGGAGCGAACAGG
rnacentral:rRNA from 1 species